GGAAAAUUCUAGAACUGAAGAUGGGUUAAGCCACAGACACUGCUUCUCAUCUCCAUACCUCCGAGCUCCUGACAGAGAUGAAAAGCCCAGGGAAAGCCAUUUACAAUGGAGAUGCUGACCUGUCACUCCACAGAAGCCUGAAGGAUGGCACAUCGAUCGGCUCCCAGGCCCUGCAACUCCCAGAUAACCCCCAGGCAACUGAAGAGCAGAAACCAACUGUUUGUGGCCAGCCCUGAGCUAGGGACCAAGGAAGAACCAAGACAUGUAAUAUCUUAUAUCCUCUCCCUGGGGACUUCUCAACUUGUUGGAGGGAAAAAAGAUACAUUAAACUAUUAGAAAACAA
rnacentral:lncRNA from 1 species